rnacentral:rRNA from 1 species
GAUGAACGCUGGCGGCGUGCCUAAUACAUGCAAGUCGAGCGAACAGACGAGGAGCUUGCUCCUCUGACGUUAGCGGCGGACGGGUGAGUAACACGUGGAUAACCUACCUAUAAGACUGGGAUAACUUCGGGAAACCGGAGCUAAUACCGGAUAAUAUAUUGAACCGCAUGGUUCAAUAGUUAAAGACGGUUUUGCUGUCACUUAUAGAUUGAUCCGCGCCGCAUUAGCUAGUUGGUAAGGUAACGGCUUACCAAGGCAACGAUGCGUAGCCGACCUGAGAGGGUGAUCGGCCACACUGGAACUGAGACACGGUCCAGACUCCUACGGGAGGCAGCAGUAGGGAAUCUUCCGCAAUGGGCGAAAGCCUGACGGAGCAACGCCGCGUGAGUGAUGAAGGUCUUCGGAUCGUAAAACUCUGUUAUUAGGGAAGAACAAAUGUGUAAGUAACUAUGCACGUCUUGACGGUACCUAAUCAGAAAGCCACGGCUAACUACGUG